GUCAGUCCAACAAUGAAAUUAUUAAAGUACAAAAAUGAAAGGAUCAACCCUAAAUUGAAAUUUCAUUCUCUCUCUUCAAAAAAAAAACGAUCAUGCUCUACAACCCGCAUCCCCUUCUCCGGUCUGUCCUGUCGGAGAAGACAGUGGUUGUCGGACAUGGACAGCGGUACCACAUUCUUCUUCGGCGAACCACCGCUCCCAAACCCAAACUGUAACCCCCCAUCCCCCACCCCUCAUUUCUUCUCUACUAUCCAAAUUUGGCCUCGUUCUAACCUAAAUCCUCCUUAAAUGGCUGGAUCGACUCUAACAAAGUCCAAAUCACUUAAGCCACGACAAAAACCAUCCUCAUAAAACGAAACCUAGCUCAAAAAAUCCCUUUAAACAUAAACCAAAACAAGAUUUCCAACAUUCAACAGUCAAAAAGAUGAAACCCUAAAUUUGAAAUUAAACUCCAAACAGCAGGAAUUUCACGAAAUUGUCAUGGGGGUUCCUCAUAAAUUAACACGGCGAAAACGAUGGCCCCAAGAAAACAGAGAAGAGAUCAACGACUCACCAAAUCGGAGCUAGUCCGAUGAACUCUCCGACGAACCGAGCUUCUUUUUCUACAGGCAAAAACUGAAAAGCAGGGGUUGCACCAAUAGCCUAAUGGUAGAUGCAAGGACAAAAUCGACUCUAGGACUGCUUGAGCCAAUGCAUUGGAGGCUCUCUAAUUGACUUGGUUUUGUUCUUUUUCUUGUAAUUUCUUGGGAUUUUGGUUUGUAAAGAUACCAUGUUAGGGCCAUAGGUUAUUAGUAAAGAUGUCACCUUUCGUGUUC